rnacentral:lncRNA from 1 species
AAAACUUUAUUUUUUAAAUACCUAGUGAAAUAUAAGAUUAAAAUAUUUUUAAUCUGAAUCAUGCAUGCAUAAAAAUAUAAAACCACAAGAAUCUAGUUCAUGUGCUGAAAUUGACAUAUGCUGAAAUUCAUAUUGUGAUCAAUUCACAUACCUAUUUCGCAAUCUCUUUCUUCAAAUCUAAAUCUGAAAGAGAAAAUUUUUUUUCUAGCCACACA